rnacentral:rRNA from 1 species
AGUGAACGCUGGCGGCAGGCCUAAUACAUGCAAGUCGAACGGCAGCACAGCAGAGCUUGCUCUGUGGGUGGCGAGUGGCGGACGGGUGAGGAAUACAUGGGAAUCUGCCCAGUCGUGGGGGAUAACGUAUGGAAACGUACGCUAAUACCGCAUGCGCCCUACGGGGGAAAGCCGGGGACCGAAAGGCCUGGCGCGAUUGGAUGAGCCCAUGUUCGAUUAGCUAGUUGGCGGGGUAAAGGCCCACCAAGGCGACGAUCGAUAGCUGGUCUGAGAGGAUGAUCAGCCACACUGGAACUGAGACACGGUCCAGACUCCUACGGGAGGCAGCAGUAGGGAAUAUUGGACAAUGGGGGCAACCCUGAUCCAGCCAUGCCGCGUGAGUGAAGAAGGCCCUCGGGUUGUAAAGCUCUUUUGUCCGGAAAGAAAAGCAAUCGGUUAAUACCCGGUUGUUCUGACGGUACCGGAAGAAUAAGCACCGGCUAACUUCGUGCCAGC